rnacentral:rRNA from 1 species
AGUGAACGCUGGCGGUAGGCCUAACACAUGCAAGUCGAAUGGCAGCACAGUAAGAGCUUGCUCUUACGGGUGGCGAGUGGCGGACGGGUGAGGAAUACAUCGGAAUCUACUUUUUCGUGGGGGAUAACGUAGGGAAACUUACGCUAAUACCGCAUACGACCUACGGGUUAAAGCAGGGGAUCUUCGGACCUUGCGCGAUUGAAUGAGCCGAUGUCGGAUUAGCUAGUUGGCGGGGUAAAGGCCCACCAAGGCGACGAUCCGUAGCUGGUCUGAGAGGAUGAUCAGCCACACUGGAACUGAGACACGGUCCAGACUCCUACGGGAGGCAGCAGUGGGGAAUAUUGGACAAUGGGCGCAAGCCUGAUCCAGCCAUACCGCGUGGGUGAAGAAGGCCUUCGGGUUGUAAAGCCCUUUUGUUGGGAAAGAAAAGCAGCAGGUUAAUACCCCGCUGUUCUGACGGUACCCAAAGAAUAAGCACCGGCUAACUUCGUG